UUUGAUCCUGGCUCAGAUUGAACGCUGGCGGCAGGCCUAACACAUGCAAGUCGAACGGUAACAGGAUGUGCUUGCACAUCGCUGACGAGUGGCGGACGGGUGAGUAAUGCUUGGGAACUUGCCUUUGCGAGGGGGAUAACAGUUGGAAACGACUGCUAAUACCGCAUAAUGUUCUACGGACUCGGUCCGAAGGACCAAACGGGGCUUUUAGCUCCGGCGCAAAGAGAGGCCCAAGUGAGAUUAGCUAGUUGGUAAGGUAACGGCUUACCAAGGCGACGAUCUCUAGCUGUUCUGAGAGGAAGAUCAGCCACACUGGGACUGAGACACGGCCCAGACUCCUACGGGAGGCAGCAGUGGGGAAUAUUGCACAAUGGGGGAAACCCUGAUGCAGCCAUGCCGCGUGUGUGAAGAAGGCCUUCGGGUUGUAAAGCACUUUNCAGUUGUGAGGAAAAGUUAGUAGUUAAUACC
rnacentral:rRNA from 1 species